UUUGCCAUAGGUACCCGUGAGUAUCCUAUCCAUUUAUUAGUAAAAGAUAUAUUUUAAAUAAGUGCGGGUUUGGAUAGUUUAAAAUGAUUGGAUACCCUACUCAAGUAAAUGGUUACGGGUAAUUCAAAAUUCGCAAGUGCCCCUCCGCUUCCAUCCCUUAUUAAAACCCAAGAAGUACUGCAUGACCUGACGGGGGCGCCAAAUACCCCCUACCCUAUCAUCUUCAACCAAUUCUCUAACCAAAGUGGGAGGACUCUCCAUGAGAUGAAGCCCACG